ACGAACGCUGGCGGCGUGCUUAACACAUGCAAGUCGAACGGAAAGGCCCUGCUUUUGUGGGGUGCUCGAGUGGCGAACGGGGGAGUAACACGUGAGUAACCUGCCCUUGACUUUGGGAUAACUUCAGGAAACUGGGGCUAAUACCGGAUAGGAGCUCCUGCUGCAUGGUGGGGGUUGGAAAGUUUCGGCGGUUGGGGAUGGACUCGCGGCUUAUCAGCUUGUUGGUGGGGUAGUGGCUUACCAAGGCUUUGACGGGUAGCCGGCCUGAGAGGGUGACCGGCCACAUUGGGACUGGGAUACGGCCCAGACUCCUACGGGAGGCAGCAGUGGGGAAUAUUGCACAAUGGGCGGAAGCCUGAUGCAGCAACGCCGCGUGCGGGAUGACGGCCUUCGGGUUGUAAACCGCUUUCGCCUGUGACGAAGCGUGAGUGACGGUAAUGGGUAAAGAAGCACCGGCUAACUACGUG
rnacentral:rRNA from 1 species